AAACUAACAAGGAUUUCCAUGGUAGCGGCGAGCGACCUGGAAUUAGCCCAGCACUGAAUCCUGUACCUUUGGUAUUGGGAAUUGUAGUGUAAAGGUUAUGUCUUUGACUAGUGACGCUGCUUCAAAUUCACUUGAAUGUGAUAAAGUCCAUAGAGGGUGUUAGGCCCGUCGGAGCAGUUGAGCUGGUUAUUGAUGUUUCCAAUGAGUCGGAUUGUUUGAGAAUGCAGUCCAAAUUGGGUGGUAAACUCCAUCUAAGGCUAAAUACUUGUGUGAGUCCGAUAGCAAACAAGUACCGUGAGGGAAAGUUGAAAAGAACUUUGAAGAGAGAGUUAAAUAGUACGUGAAAUUGCUUAGAGGUAAACGAGUGGAGCCGAAGUGAAUGUUUGGGAUUCAGUUUUUUGUGAUUGUGAUCUUGGUGUUGUAAAUCUGUCAAAGGAUUAUCGAUGCUGGGCUUUGCUUUUGCGAUUAAUGCACUUUCCAGACAAUAAUUCGUACUGCGAUCGAUACAGACGUCAUUCUGCCAGUAGUUUGAAGUUGUCUCAUUUGUCUGACAAAUGUUUCUUAUAGCUCGCUACAACGGUGUUUGAUUUGUUAUAUCGGUGAUAGCGGCUUUGCUAAUAUUGAUUGAUUACAAUGUUGUUGGCAUCGAUUUUGACUUUUUACGAAGGCUUAGUUGGUGUCCGAUGAUGUCGUGUUGAUUGAUGGGUAAAUCUAAAAUCGGCAGUGUAUAUGUAGGUUAUCUACUCGUCCCGUCUUGAAACACGGACCAAGGAGUUUUAUAUUAUCGCGAGUCAAAGGGCCAUACGAAACCCCACGGCGUAAUUAAUGUAAAGGUUAACUUCGGUUGACUGUGAUGUGACCUCGUUGACAGUCAAAUGUUUAAUGAGAGCAACAUCGACCCGUCUAAAGGUGUUCGCAUCUGGGCGGAGUUUGAGCGAUAAUGUAGAGACCCGAAAGAUGGUGAACUAUGCUUGUGCAGGUUGAAGUCAGAGGAAACUCUGAUGGAGGAUCGCAGCGGUUCUGACGUGCAAAUCGAUCGUCGGACAUGAGUAUAGGGGCGAAAGACUAAUCGAACCAUCUAGUAGCUGGUUCCCUCCGAAGUUUCCCUCAGGAUAGCUGGCAUUUACUUGUUGUAGUUUUACCUGGUAAAGCGAAUGAUUAGAAGUAUUGGGGGCGAAAUGCCUUCAACUUAUUCUCAAACUUUAAAUGGGUGCGAAGUGUAACUCUCUUUAUAUUGGAGUUAUACAUUGAAUACAAAUGCCUAGUGGGCCAUUUUUGGUAAGCAGAACUGGCGAUGUGGGAUGAACCAAACAUUUGGUUAAGGUGCCAAAGUGUACGCUCAUGAGAAACCACAAAAGGUGUUGGUUGAUAAAGACAGCAGGACGGUGGACAUGGAAGUUGUCAUCCGCUAAGGAGUGUGUAACAACUCACCUGCCGAAUCAACCAGCCCUGAAAAUGGAUGGCGCUGUAGCGUACCACCUAUACCAGAUCGAUGUCGUAAGGAUUUACGUAAACGGCAUCGUGUAGGAGGGUGCCGUGGUUGCAACGAAGCUACUGGCGUGAGUCAGAGUGGAGCGAUCACGGGUACAGAUCUUGGUAGUAGUAGCAAUUAUUCAAGUGAGAACCUUGAAG
rnacentral:rRNA from 1 species